rnacentral:rRNA from 1 species
CACGUAGGUGGCAAGCGUUGUCCGGAUUUACUGGGCGUAAAGAGCGCGCAGGCGGUCGUUCAAGUCGCGUGUGAAAGCCCCCGGCUCAACUGGGGAGGGUCACGCGAUACUGAUCGACUCGAAGGCAGGAGAGGGAAGUGGAAUUCCCGGUGUAGUGGUGAAAUGCGUAGAUAUCGGGAGGAACACCAAUGGCGAAGGCGACUUCCUGGCCUGUUCUUGACGCUGAGGCGCGAAAGCUAGGGGAGCAAACGGG